UACGUAGGGGCCGAGCGUUGUCCGGAGUUAUUGGGCGUAAAGCGCGCGCAGGCGGCUUGGCGCGCCCGACGUGAAAGCCCCCGGCUUAACCGGGGAGGGUCGUCGGGUACGGCCAGGCUUGAGGGCGGGAGAGGGUGGUGGAAUUCCCGGUGUAGUGGUGAAAUGCGUAGAGAUCGGGAGGAACACCUGUGGCGAAGGCGGCCACCUGGGCCGACCCUGACGCUGAGGCGCGAAGGCGUGGGGAGCGAACGGG
rnacentral:rRNA from 1 species